GACGUAGGGCGCGAGCGUUGUCCGGAUUUAUUGGGCGUAAAGAGCUCGUAGGCGGCUUGUCGCGUCGUUCGUGAAAACCUGGGGCUCAACCCCAGGCUUGCGGGCGAUACGGGCAGGCUAGAGUUCGGUAGGGGAGACUGGAAUUCCUGGUGUAGCGGUGAAAUGCGCAGAGUAUCAGGAGAACACCCGGUGGCGUAAGGCGGGCUCUCG
rnacentral:rRNA from 1 species